rnacentral:rRNA from 1 species
GACGAACGCUGGCGGCGUGCUUAACACAUGCAAGUCGAACGGAAAGACCCUGCGCUUGUGGGGUGCUCGAGUGGCGAACGGGUGAGUAACACGUGAGUAACCUGCCCUUAACUGUGGGAUAACUUCAGGAAACUGGGGCUAAUACCGGAUAGGAGAUCCUGAUGCAUGGUGGUGGAUGGAAAGUUUCGGCUGUAGUGGCUGGACUCGCGGCUUAUCAGCUUGUUGGUGAGGUAGUGGCUUACAAGGGCUUUGACGGCUAGCCGGCCUGAGAGGGUGAACGGCGACCAUGGGACUGAGAGACGGCCCAGAAUCCAACGGGAGGCAGCAGUGGAGAACAUUACACAAUGGGCGGACGCCAGAUGCGGCAACGCCGCGUGCGGGAAGCCCGCUUUUGAGUUGUAAACCGCUUUCGAAUUUGACGAAGCCGGCGUGACGGUAACGGGUAAAGAAGCCCCGGCUAACUACGUG